GGUGAACGCUUGCAGUAUGCUUAACACAUGCUAGUUUUUAAGUUUUAUAACUUAGCGCACGGGUGAGUAAUAACUUUUGUUACCUUAACUUUAAAAUAAUUAAAGUUUAUUGCUUACGCAUUUUAACUAAUUUAAUAAUAUUAAAGGUUUAACACUGAGUUAAGAUAACUAAAGUAUGGUAUUAAGUUGUUGGUUAGGUAACGGCUGACCAAGCUGAUGAUUCCUAACUGGUUAGAGAUAAUGUACCCAGUCACAUUUGGAACUGAGACAAUGUCCAAGCCUAAGCCAGCAGUGCGGAAUAUUGGACAAUGAGCAAUGCUUGAUCCAGCAAUACUGCUUAAAUGAGGAAAAUGUAAAAGGUAAAAGAGUAAUGAACCUUUUUAUCGUUUGUAAAAUUUUAGCUUUAAAAAAUGAUAAUGACGUUUUUUAAAAAAAGCUCCGGCUAACCUCGUGCCAGCAGCCGCGGU
rnacentral:rRNA from 1 species